UACGGGGGGGGGCAAGCGUUGUUCGGAAUUACUGGGCGUAAAGGGCUCGUAGGCGGCCAACUAAGUCAGACGUGAAAUCCCUCGGCUUAACCGGGGAACUGCAUCUGAUACUGGAUGGCUUGAGUUCGGGAGAGGGAUGCGGAAUUCCAGGUGUAGCGGUGAAAUGCGUAGAUAUCUGGAGGAACACCGGUGGCGAAGGCGGCAUCCUGGACCGGCAUUGACGCUGAGGCGCGAAAGCUAAGGGGAGCAAACGGGG
rnacentral:rRNA from 1 species